UGGCUGCGGAGGCCUAGGGCCCGGGCUCCCCGGGGCUGCACCGGGCUUGGAGACGCAGGUCACCUGCCGCCGCGCCGCCUGCCCGCAGCAGCCCGCGGGGACGCGCGCCGCGAAGAGCGGAAGGGAGAAGACUAUCGUGGUUAUGAGCUUGGAAUCUGGAACUAGACUACCUGGGUUCACAUCUGGCUCCCAUUACUGGGGUGACAUUAAGCAAAUUGUUUAACCUCUCUGUGCCCUGGUUUCCUCCUCUAUAAAAUGAAGAUAAUGAUAGUGUCUACCUCCUAGUCUUAAGCAAUAAAUAUAUUGAUAUAUUUCA